CGGGUGUAAGAGAAAAUGAGAAAGAGAGGGGGUGAGGAUCGAAACAGGUCAGAAUCAGAGGGAUGAGAAAGGGCGAAGGCGUAAGGACCAAUUGGAGAAGAGAAGAUAAGUAGAAGAAUAACAAGGAGGAGAUUGAGAGCCACUGGUACUGGGUUUGGGAGUUCUAGGGUUUUCAAGCUCUGAUGGAAAAUUACCUUUGCAGGCUGCAGCGAGCGAGAGAGAUAGGGAGGAGAGCGACGCGAGGAGGGCUGGGCU
rnacentral:misc_RNA from 1 species